AAUCAAAUUUGAGAAAAACUCGAGUAACUCCAAUGGCUUCUCAAACCCUAAUUCUCCAAAACCCAAAUCUUCCCAGAACUACCAUCCUCUCUCCUCCUUCAACCCUAAUCUGCUCGAAACCCAGAACAAUUUCAUUGUUCGCACGGCCAAAUUCACUCGCAGCUCCUUCUUCACUCAUUCUUAAAUCUAAAAAAUUCACAGUUUCAGCAUCAUCCUCAACUGUUCUCGAAAACCCCUCUACGAAAUCCGACCCUUUAAUCACUAGCUCUACGCGUACAAUUACAACUUACUUUGCAGUCACUUUAGCCGUAUCGAAGUUGAUUUUCCAAAAAUUGAGCUUCAAGGGACUGGGGCAAUCUCUGGCGUAUUCUGCGGGGCCAAUGUUUUUCGCUGCCCUUAGGAAUCAGUCUACAACAGGAGGAUUGAAUACCCCUUUCACCGUGGUUGCUGCUGGAAUGGCGAAAUGGCUUGAUAUAUACAGUGGGGUUUUGAUGGUUCGGGUUUUGCUCAGUUGGUUUCCGAAUAUACCUUGGGACAGACAGCCAUUGUCAGCUAUUAGGGACCUUUGUGAUCCUUAUCUGAAUCUCUUCAGGAACAUAAUUCCCCCAAUUUUUGACACUUUGGAUGUGAGUCCUCUUUUGGCUUUUGCAGUUUUGGGUACACUUGGUUCAAUUCUUAACAGCAGCAGGGGAUCGUACUGAGGCAAUUGGCAACAUAUGGUGUAAGGACCAAUGAUGCUUUUAAAAAUCUAUUUUUUUAUGUUAGUCUUUUAUUACGCAUGUGUUAAGAGUUUCAACGGUAUUGUAGUUGUAAUGUUGAUUUCAGAAAUUUUGGUGAGACUCAAAUGUUAUUUAUAUAGAAGCUAAUUAAUGGGUUGCG
rnacentral:misc_RNA from 1 species